CGCUAGUCGAUCGUCGGAAGGUACGACGCCAUCCUUCGGUCUUCUUGGAACCAAAAUGGAUUGCGAGAAAGAGCUGAGGAAUGGUGGCAGUGGUAGCGGUCUAUAACGUGUACAACAAGGUGUUACGAUUUGUAACGAUUGGAAAUGCAGAAAGAGACGUUUGACCGCUGGAAGUCUCGAUAUGCGAAAGACAGGCUAAACAAUAAUCGUGGUUAAGUUAUCAAUGGCAGAUAGCUGUUAGAAUCGCCAAGAGGAGAUUCAAUAGUGAGAGGUUAGAAUGGAGACUAUACAUUGUCGUGUAGCAUUGAACCCAGUCAGUCAGGCGUAAAUUGGAGGAAGGUCUCAACAAGAAAGUAUGAAUGAUCUCACGACCAUGUUAAAGUCGAGAAAUGCGGUUGACCAACUGUCAGGCGGGCGAUGACCAAAU